CAGGCAUUGUGAUGUAGCAUUAGGCUACUAUUGAUCUUCUGAUCAUAUGUCAGAAGGAGGAUCAUCUGCUGUGGGUGUUCCUGAUCUUUGAGCCAUGAUAAUGUUACUGGUUGGAUGUCAGGAGCAGGCCAUGUGGAUGAUUAAAAGAUGAAUAUCAUAUACAGCAUGGAUAUGUUGGACAAAAAGAUGAUUCACAUCCCAGACAGAAUGGAGCAGCACAUUUAUUAAAAGCCAGAAGCUAGAAGACGAGGAAAGAAGAGGUGGUUAAAGAAAGAUACAGUAACAGCAGUAAUAUCUAACAGGAAGGCUACAGGGGAAAAUACAGAAAUUCCAUAAAGAACAAACACUGUAACUCAAAACCAAAGCUUUGCUAGUCACUAGUGCCCGCUACAUCCUAACAGAUGCAGCUGGAGAGCCUGGGGUGAGAACAUGAGCAGUCUAUAAUCAGAAAAUCCCUUUGGGAUAAAUUGACAAAAAUAUAAACCACUCCACAAAGGAGAAAUUGUAAAUGAGUUGUUAUGUAAAACCUCCCAGCGAAAGAAAUAGUCCAGAAAGCUUGAAGAGAAACUGAAAUUUGAAAAAUCUACCUAAAAAGGUGAUAAAGGAUUUUCAGUUUUGCAAAAAACGCAAUACAGAGUGUCUUUGGAAAGAAAGUUCUCAUAUGGAUUUAAAAUAUGAUUCAAUUUACAGAAGUCAGAGUUGUUCUUCCAGAUGGCAUGAAUCCAACAGUGAAGAAAUCAGAAUACGUUGCUUUUGUGAGGGGCAGCUGCUGAUUUUCUCUGAGCUCCGUUUCCAGCCUUCACAUGCUCUGCUAUUCAUCACAGGGUAAAUUCUGACUAUAGGAGGUACUGACAGAAGAUUAGGGAAGAACAGAGGGCUAAAUGUUUAUUGACUUCUUGAAAAAUGCUAUGUGUCUUGCCAGACUUAGCUUACAAGUUUGGUUAAAGAGAGACUGACAUGAGCAUAAAGGAAGGGACAUUGAAAGAGGCAGAGAUGAAGGAAGAAAUUGUAACUUACUCCUUUUAUCCCACCCAUCAAAGGAAAGACAAGUUGACAAUACUGAGUGAAGAAAUUUGU
rnacentral:lncRNA from 1 species